GCCAUAGGUUAAUGCAAGUGUUUAACAGAUGCUUCGCUAUUAAAAUAUUUCCCCCCAAUACUGAAGAAUCUUAAACCAGCAACCCUAACAGAGAUUGCGAAGAUUUUCAAAGUGGGGCACCUCGAUUUCUCGAAUCUGUGGUGUGGCGAAUAUCCGUGUUCCUCCUGCUUAACUAGCCUGUUUGAAGGCACAGUUCAUUCUCGAGCAAUUCGUCACCUCCUGGGGGUCUUCUCUUCCCGUCUACAGGAGAGUGUGACUUCAGAAAGAACUUCGGAUUGGCCAAGGCAGGUCUGAUUCUAUUUAUUCUAAAGACAGAGUUGGAGAUGGGCUACCAUUGGUGUUGAUUGAGAUGACAAGCAGUCACCUGAGCCCAUACAGCUGGUAAGUAGAACAGUACUGGAGAGAUGGCUCAGCAGUUAAGAUCACUGACUGCUCUUCCAGAAGUCCUGAGUUCAAUUCCCAGCAACCACAUGGUGGCUCAUAAACAUCUGUAAUGAGAUCAGGUGCCCUCUU
ensembl:processed_transcript AV026068 expressed sequence AV026068